ACAAGAAGGAGCAAGUCUCUGCUUCCUCCUUCAGUCUCCUGCCUCCUUCUAGCGCUCGUACUGACAGAGCCUAAAAUAUUACCAGCUGGUAAAACAAAUAUGGCUGCAAGACCUAACUACAGCACAUCAAAACACGUUGAAGACAAAAGGAUGGACACUGAACUGAAAGACAGCUAAUUAAUGACUGGCCCGGGAGGCAAGUAAUAAGCCUUUGGAACAUGUGUUCUCCUGAAGUCAUGGACACAAACACUUCCGUAAUCACGACACAUCUUCAGAGAUCCGGAACAGAGUCUGCACCCUGAAGUUCCUGGGAACUACCGUGGAUACUGCAUCAACUCCUGGGGCAGCCCACGUACCAGCUGUGUUGGAGUGCCGGGAGGAAACUCAGCUGUCUCCUGAUUCAAGGCCUUCGUUUUACAGUUAUCAAGGCUGAGACUCAGAGAUAACUUUCAAGAACAUAUGGGGAAAGAUUUGGCAGUACCCUUCAUCCCUAAAGAAUUGCAAAAGAACUGUGCAAAAGAAAAUGGUUCAGAAAGCACUUCAGUCAAUCUGAGACUGCACCCCAUUAGAUGUCAAGCUUCUCUGGAGGCAAGACCAUCAGAGAGACAUCAGAACAUCCAAAUGUCUUCUGACAGGUCCGCUGCUUGUAAGAAAAAUGCCCAACCCUUCAACAAUGGCAGUGAAGAACCUUUCCUUGAAUUCUAUCUGUGUGAUUUUGCACUGAUUCUAACUACACAAAUGCUGGCCUGUUCCUUGAAGAUGGGUGUGGCAGAAAGAAAAUAAUCUGGAGAAAUACACGAAAAUGUUUACAAAUGAGUGUUCCAAGGGAUGGAAUAGGAGGUGGGGGAAGUGGUAAGAGCUGCAGUUUUGCCUCUGGGGGGUUGCAAAUGCUUCUGUAUGUCAGUGGCCUCCAAAAGGCUCCUGCCUCUGCCGCUCAACCAGGAGAAACUCACUCCCACAUCAGUCUCCAUCAGUACAAACACUACUGACAAUUUAAGAAAAUAUAAGCUUCUCAGAAUGUUAAAGCUGUAUUUGCAUAGUAUCAAAUAACCAGCCCACACUUUCUGAGCACCUUUUCUAAGCAAGGCAUUGUAGAAAAUUGAUAGACACAAAGAAGGAAGAGUCACAAGAGGGAGUUUCUUCCUCAAGGAGUUUAUACUCUGGAAGUGGGAACAGAGCCAUGUAGGUGGUCUCCGUGGAGACCAUUUGGGAACCCAAAUACCUUAGUGCCUGAAAAACCAAGACGGAGCAUAGACAAAUGAUUCAUCACAGGAAGCAGUGGCAGGACAAAGUAAAAUUGACCCCUCCUAGUCUGUUAUAUUCUACUCACAGGAUAAUUUACUCUAUUAAUGUAAAACGGAAUAUUGAACAUAAGUUGUUUGAAAGGAAGUCACUGAGUACAGCAUCCUAGAAUAGGGGUGGGGGGGUGACUAAAAUCACCUAGCUCAGCAAUGCUGUAAAGGUCUAUGGCUCUCCCUACGUUCCUCUGGGUGGAUGAGGCGGAGAGGCCAGCAGGGCUGUGGCGGGGGUCCAGCCACCCCAACACUGUGACUCUGUUGUCCAAAUUCCAUCCUAACAGUGUGCCUGUGAUUUAUCUCUAGACUGUGGUUUCACCUAAGAUGAGCUAAAGCAAAAUAUUUGUUCUGCUGAGAAAAAAAAUAAGGAAGGAAGGAAACGAGGAAGAAAGAAAGGAAGGUGUGCCCAUUAAUGUAAGUUCCCAUUUGGGAAACAAAUGAUUAUGCUCUGUUUGCACAGAAAGGAAGAAAAGCAAGAAGGAAGGAGGGGAUGCCACCCAUCUAAGCCGUCUAUCUUAUUAGGUGUGAGAGGUUAAGCAAUUAAGCCAAGGCUGAGCGUUUGCAAAUCUCCUAAUCAGGGCACUUUCAGAUGUAUCAUGCUGAUGCAUUAACACUGGUUGCACACAUGGGUUUCCCACCCAAUAACCGCCCCUCCCCUCCCCUUGUUCCUCUGUCCCUUUCUUUCAGGAGAGCUUGUAUUAAUUACAUAGGGGGUGUCCCUGUGUAACACAGAAAACUGCGUCCUCUCUAGAGCUAGCAGGGAAUCUUAAUCCACUAAAACUAUGAUGUAGUAUUUUAAGACAAAUAACAUGCAUUAAUCCAUUUUAUCAAUAAAUACCUCAUCAUGCCAUUUUGAACACAGUUAAUAGCAUCUAAAUUAAUAUCCAGUCCAUACACGAAUUUUCCUGAUUAUCCCUCCCCCAUUUUCUUAAUACACACAUUUUUUUAUAAUUGGCUGGAUUGAUCCAAAAGUGUUCAGACUUCUGCAUCUGAUUAUCAUACCUUGAGUCUCUGUUAGCCUAAUGAAUCUCCUCCUUUCUUUUUUCAUGCCACUGUCUUUUUGGAAAUAUGAGAUCAUUUGCUCAAUAGAAUGUAAUAUCUCUCGAUUUAGAGGGAUUUCCCCUGUUGUUUGACUAGUUCUUCUAUCCCUAAUAUUUCUUUAAACUGGUUGUGGAUCUGGAGACUGAGGGAGAUUCAGUUCCAUAUCAUAAUUGUGCAGGAAUACUUUUUGAGAGGCAUUAGGUAGUUAUGUUGCAUCACAUUAUGAGAUACACAUGGCAGAUCCUCCUUUCAGUGAAGCUAAGCUUUAUUAGUUGGUUACAGCCCAUAACUUUUAAAGAAACUCCUUUCCUCUUUUAUCAGCAGGAACUGGCUUCUGAGGACAUUGCUGAAGUGAGUUGACUGCUUUAUAUGGUGGUACUUUUCGUGGCAAGGCCCCUAGGUAUAUUCUGGCUAUUGAGAUGGGGUGGACAGUUUGCUAGGAAACUGUGAAGUCCUUCCUCACCCUUACAGUGGGCCUAAGGAGAGGACUCUCUCUCCUCUGAAUUUUGGAUAUUGCAGCACCAGGAUAUAACAUCUGAAUCACUACAGCCAUCCUACAACCAGGAAGGACACUGAGGACAAGAGCCAAAGAACUAUGUAGUUCAGGCUGGCCUUAAACUCACUAAGACAGAAAGAACCAUGGGCGCUCAUGGUACCACUGAGCAUCUCAGUGAGCCAGGAGCUGGGCCUACCCUAACCCUCUUACCUGGGAUAAUCCAUUGCUGUAUUUCAGUGGUUUUUAUUUGUUUUUCAUGACAUGGCACAUAGAUGAUGCUAUAUGAUAGGGUUUACGUGUCACACUGGCAUAGGAUUUUUAUGGAAGUUCAUAUGAUAUAAUGAAGAUAUGAAAAAUAAAAUGCAAAUUAUGAGGCAGUACACACAGUACUGAAUUUGUACAGCAUUCUAAAUAAAAACAUUUGUUGGGAACUUGGUCUUGCUUGCACGACCCUAAUACUUUUAAGCCAGAGAUUUUAUGCUUGAAAUGGCUACAUGAUGUUGCUAAUAAAAAUUUGUAACAUUAUCUUCAAA